UACGAAGGGUGCAAACGUUGCUCGGAAUUAUUGGGCGUAAAGCGCACGUAGGCGGCUUGGCAAGUCGGAUGUGAAAGCCCUCGGCUCAACCAAGGAAGUGCAUCCGAAACUGCUGAGCUUGAGUACUUAAGAGGAUCGCGGAAUUCCCGGUGUAGAGGUGAAAUUCGUAGAUAUCGGGAGGAACACCAGAGGCGAAGGCGGCUACCUGGACAAUUGCUGACACUCAGGCACGAAAGCGUGGGGAGCAAAAGGG
rnacentral:rRNA from 1 species